CUUGCUGAAAUAGUAGUCUGAAUUGGGUUUUCCCCCGUUUAAGGGUAACGCCAUCGCACUUAGCACAGCGAGUCGAAAGGGAGUCUCAAAUGCAACGCAACCCGUCUCAGCCAUAAAGGCAUCUUCGACGUCUCACCGAUUACGUGGGAAAAAUUACGAGCAUAGACAUUUCUGGUACCCUCACGCGCUCUUAGGGCACUUCCCGUUUCGGGAAUUACCAAUGACCUGAUCUCAGACCUUCCCAGGAGCUCGCAUGGGCAGACGGACCCGUUUAUGGCUCCUCUGACGUUCUUUUCACCAAG
rnacentral:RNase_P_RNA from 1 species